GGGGCAGACUGGAUUUGACAGCGGGCCGGAAUGGUAUGUAAGCACGCAGUGAGCCUGGGAGUGGUCACUUUAAUCACGGCUUCCAACAAUUUAACUGGCAACAACAGCUAUGCUCUCGCUGCCUAAACGAAGAACAGUAGUUUAGAAGCUUAAUCGCGGUGCAAGGCACUGCGACGAGACGUCACCCCGAAGCUCAUGCCCUGAAGCUCACGGAAACGGUGGCGCAGAAAAUCAGGGAUAAGCGCCGCGCGCCCCAGCGCAGCGACGAAAACACAAAGGGGAUAAGGUCGCAGGCAGGUAGCACCUCUCUGGCCUACGACACGAAAAAUGCAGAGGAGCUAAGCGUGUAGAAAGCAUAUGGUUUCCCCGUUUGGACGAGGGUUCGAAACCCUCCUGCUCCACA
rnacentral:tmRNA from 1 species